rnacentral:rRNA from 1 species
AACGAACGCUGGCGGCAUGCCUAACACAUGCAAGUCGAACGAUUGCCUUCGGGUGAUAGUGGCGCACGGGUGCGUAACGCGUGGGAAUCUGCCCUUAGGUUCGGAAUAACAGCUGGAAACGGCUGCUAAUACCGGAUGAUAUCGCGAGAUCAAAGGUUUAUCGCCUGAGGAUGAGCACGCGUUGGAUUAGGUAGUUGGUGGGGUAAAGGCCUACCAAGCCGACGAUCCAUAGCUGGUCUGAGAGGAUGAUCAGCCACACUGGGACUGAGACACGGCCCAGACUCGUACGGGAGGCAGCAGUGGGGAAUAUUGGACAAUGGGCGCAAGCCUGAUCCAGCAAUGCCGCGUGAGUGAUGAAGGCCCUAGGGUUGUAAAGCUCUUUUACCCGGGAAGAUAAUGACGGUACCGGGAGAAUAAGCCCCGGCUAACUCCGU